AGCGAGAAUUAUGUGGGAAUCAUAAUGGCCGAAAGUCUAAGGUUUCCUGGGGAAGGUUCGUCCGCCCAGGGUAAGCCGGGAGCUAAGGCGAGGCCGCAAGGCGUAGUCGAUGCACAUACGGUAGAAAUUCCGUAGCCGGCUCAAUCGUUAGGCAUACUGACACAUGAGAGUAGCUCUACCGGGCGUUGGUUGCCCCGGGCGUAAGCGAGCCGAAUGAGGCGAAGUGAGUAAAUCUUGUGGCGAGAAAAGGUGUGUGUAUUGGUUGAGCUGCCCGUACCGCAAACCGACACAGGUAGAUGAGGAGAAGAUCCUAAGGCCAUCGGGAGAAGGGUUGUUAAGGAACUAGGCAAAUUGACCCCGUAACUUCGGGAGAAGGGGUGCCUACGAGAGUAGGCCGCAGAGAAUCGGCCCAAGCAACUGUUUACCAAAAACACAGGUCUCUGCUAAAUCGAAAGAUGACGUAUAGGGGCUGACGCCUGCCCGGUGCUGGAAGGUUAAGAGGAGGACUUAGUGGCAACACGAAGGCCCGAAUUGAAGCCCCAGUAAACGGCGGCCGUAACAAUAACGGUCCUAAGGUAGCGAAAUUCCUUGUCAGGUAAGUUCUGACCCGCACGAAAGGCGUAAUGAUUUGGGCACUGUCUCAACAGCCCGCCCGGCGAAAUUGUAGUACCGGUGAAGAUGCCGGUUACCCGCAACUAGACGGAAAGACCCCAUGGAGCUUUACUGCAGCUUAAUACUGAGAUUCGGUAAAUCAUGUACAGGAUAGGUGGGAGACUGAGAAGCCAGGCCGUCAGGUUUGGUGGAGUCGCCCUUGGGAUACCACCCUUGGUUUGCUGGGUUUCUAACCCGCGGCCCUGAAUCGGGUCGGGGGACACUGUUAGGCGGGCAGUUUGACUGGGGCGGUCGCCUCCUAAAAUGUAACGGAGGCGCUCAAAGGUUGGCUCAGCAUGGAUGGAAACCAUGCAAUGAGUGUAAACGUAUAAGCCAGCCUGACUGCGAGACCGACGGGUCGAGCAGAGACGAAAGUCGGAGUUAGUGAUCCGGUGGUAUGUGAGUGGAAAUGCCAUCGCUCAACGGAUAAAAGCUACCCUGGGGAUAACAGGCUGAUCUCCCCCAAGCGUCCACAGCGACGGGGAGGUUUGGCACCUCGAUGUCGGCUCGUCGCAUCCUGGGGCUGAAUUAGGUCCCAAGGGUUUGGCUGUUCGCCAAUUAAAGCGGCACGCGAGCUGGGUUCAGAACGUCGUGAGACAGUUCGGUCCCUAUCUGUUGCGGGCGUAGGAGAUUUGAAGGGAGCUGACCUUAGUACGAGAGGACCGGGUUGGACGUACCUCUGGUGUACCAGUUGUUCUGCCAAGGGCAUGGCUGGGUAGCUACGUACGGACGAGAUAAACGCUGAAGGCAUCUAAGCGUGAAACUCUCCCUGAGAUAAGAUCUCCACUGAGGCUCGACGUAGACUAUGUCGUUGAUAGGUCAGAGGUGGAAGUGCAGCAAUGCAUGGAGCUGACUGAUACUAAUAAGCCGAAAGCUUGACC
rnacentral:rRNA from 1 species